GACGAACGCUGGCGGCGUGCUUAACACAUGCAAGUCGAACGGAACUUCUUGGAUAGAGGCUUCGGCCAAUUGAAUUGAAGUUUAGUGGCGGACUGGUGAGUAACGCGUGAGGAACCUGCCUUUCAGAGGGGGACAACAGUUGGAAACGACUGCUAAUACCGCAUAAGCCCACGACCCGGCAUCGGGUUGAGGGAAAAGGAGCAAUCCGCUUUGAGAUGGCCUCGCGUCCGAUUAGCUAGUUGGUGAGGUAACGGCCCACCAAGGCGACGAUCGGUAGCCGGACUGAGAGGUUGAACGGCCACAUUGGGACUGAGACACGGCCCAG
rnacentral:rRNA from 1 species